rnacentral:rRNA from 1 species
UACGUAGGGGGCAAGCGUUGUCCGGAUUCAUUGGGCGUAAAGAGCGUGUAGGCGGCCAGGUAGGUCGGUUGUGAAAACUGGAGGCUCAACCUUCAGAGGUCGACCGAAACCAUCUGGCUAGAGUCCGGGAGAGGAGAGUGGAAUUCCUGGUGUAGCGGUGAAAUGCGCAGAUAUCAGGAAGAACACCCGUGGCGAAGGCGGCAUCCUGGACCAACACUGACACUGAGGAGCGAAAGCCAGGGGAGCAAACGGG